GACGAACGCUGGCGGCGUGCUUAACACAUGCAAGUCGAACGAAGUGGCGAACGGGGGAGUAAUACGUGGGUAACCUGCCCUCCUUUUUGGGAUAAGCCUUGGAAACGGGGUCUAAUACCGAAUAACGGGGGAUGCGCUCGCGGCCUAUCAGCUUGUUGGUGGGGUGAUGGGCUACCAAGGCGGUGACGGGUAGCCGGAAUGAGAGGUUGCACGGCCACAGAGGGACUGAGAUACGGCCCAGAGUACUACGGGGGGCAGCAGUGGGGGAUAUUGCCCAAUGGGCGAAAGUGUAAUGCAGCGACGCCGAUGGGGGGAUGAGGGCCUUCGGGUUGUAAACCUCUUUCGCAAUCGAACGGGUAGGUAGCGAAGAAGCGCCGGCUAACUACGUGCCAGCAGCCGCGGUAAUUC
rnacentral:rRNA from 1 species